AAGCAGUCUAGAUUUUGAGGUCAAUGUCAGGUGUUUUACCUCCUAAGGUAAAGUAUCAGCUGUUAAACAUUCUCACAUGCAAACUACUUCCUUGACUGAUCCUACAGGUAUGGGCAGACUCAGCACUGCAUUUUGUCAUGGAAAGUUCUCACCUCGGAGGCUGCGGCAUGCCUUCGACAAGUGGCCAGGGGAUCCAGACAGAGCCAGCCCAGUCGCCACUGUUUUUAUACAUAGACUUUCAGGGCAUAGUUGGCGUGCCACUGAACCGUGAUCCACGUCACUCGGUUUGUCUGCAAGACCUGCCACACAAAAUGCUACAAGUGCCACACAAUACUGCUCAUAUUUAUGCAGAGGGUUAACAUCUUGCCCUCUGUGAAUGUGCACACCAGAGACAGGUGAGAAACUGCAAGCAACUGUAAUGUCACAAUGUAGAGAGCGGCGAUUGCAAAACUACGAGGGUCAGCAAUGAGCUAGUCUGCAAAUCUGGCCCAAAACAGCAGUGAAACUAUAACAUGAUAUUGAUCUUGGUUUCAGGAAGAGUUCAGAGGGCUCUCAAUGAACGGUGGAUCCCAUCUUGUUGUCCUGGUGUCCUGGGCCUACCACCAUGCAGAGGACUGCCGCUCUUGCCCUGAGCUGAAAGAAGUGCUGGAGAGGCAGUGCUGGGGCUCAGUAAGUGCCGUCUGGGGGUGUGUGGAUGGACAUAGUUACACACAGACCACAAAGCCCAGCGCAAACCCUGGACACUGAGUGUGAUCCCCUACUGGAAGGUGAGGAGCAGCCUAGAGGGAACCAACACCACCAUGUCCCAGCCCAGUCCAGCUGCCACCCCACAGACUCAGAGUGCCGUCCACACUGAUGCUACCACCACCAGUGCAGAUGGUCAGACAGCUUUUGGUACCUCCAAAGUUACCCUGGGAAACAGAACACUCAGUAUUACAUUUCAGUGUUUACUGAAGUAUAGUCUUGACUGCAUUGACAUGUAUGGCUCUUUGCAGAUGGUUACCAUCUUAUUGCCUGUUGCCAGUUCAAAUUAAUUUGUUUGACCCUCUUGCCCCUAGAAUUUCUCUUUGGUGAGGAGACACCCUCUCCUGCACCAGCCCUGCUCAUGGACAGGCCAGAAUUGCUUCCCCGAAGAAGAGAACCAGAAUAAAAGAAGCAAUUGGAUUGAGGUGAAGUAUCCAUGUUUGUUUUUCAGAGCGGACCUGCCCAAUAUCUACAAAUGUCCAUACCCAGGCUGCUUAUCUGUAAAAAAAAAAAAGGAGCAGGGCAUGAAGGUCAGAUUAAGUGCUCCUUACAGCACUGUUAAUCCUCUUAUGAACAUGUCUGUUGGUACAUUACCGUUUUGUCUCUGGGGUACAGAAACACAUUAAGGAGCACUAUGAAGAGGUCUGCGAGCGGCCCUGCCCUCCCCAUAGGCUGCAACAAAGUCUUCAUGAUUGACCGCUACCUGCAGCGACAGGUCCAACUCAUUCACAUUGAGUUGGGGAACUACAUCUGUGACCAAUGUGGUCAGACCUUCAAGCAGAGGAAACACCUGGAUGUGCCACUCAGGGGUUAAGCCACUACAGGGGGAGAUUAAGCUCAUAUCAGGAGGCAAGGUUCUGCUGAUUUGUGUUGUGAGGGGCUCAAGCACUGAUGACCAAACAAGGCAGAGGCUGAUCUGGAAUUUGCAUGUGAACUGUGUGGGGAACGCUUUGAGAAGGCCCACAACCUCAACAGACACGGUGCAUCCCCUCACACUAGCAGCUGUCAGAGGAAACAUUGACAGCCCCUCCAACACCCAACAUACGGACCAUCAGAGACUGGGGAACUGAAUCCAUACACCGGUUGAUAGACUUGAUUAGGUCCGUGACCAACAAGGAGCUGCGAAGACCACAACGUCCCUUGAGCCUCUAUAUAAGGAGUCUGAUAUAGAAUGGUAAUGGGUAGUGACUAAUUGAACAGAACAUGGAAUCACUAGUCACUUUUAAUGUUUACAUACUGUUGUACUCAUUUCGAUUGUAUAUACUGUAUUCUAGUCAAUGCCACUCAGACAUUGCUCGUCCUAACUUAUAUUUCUUAAUUCCAUUAUUUUACUUUUAGAUGUGUGUAUUGUUGAAGUAUUAGAUACUACUGCACUGUUGGAGCUAGGAACACAAGCAUUUCACUACACCCACAAUAUCAGCUAAAUAUGUGUGUGACCAAUAACAAUUGAUUUGACUUGUACUGCUCAUGCUCUAAACCAGGAAUAGGAAACUGACUGGGGCCACAGAAAAAUAUGAACUCAUCAGUGGUGUAAAGUAGUUAUUUUGGGGUAUCUGUACUUUACUAUUUAUAUUUGACAACUUUUACUUCACUACAUUCCUAAAGAAAAUAAUGUACUUUUUACUUCAUUUUCCUUGACACCCAAAAGUACUCGUUACAUUUUGAACGCCAUCUGGUUUUCUUAAAUAUUUGUACUUUUACUUUUGAUACUUGAGUCAUUUUCCAUUAAAAAGUAUCUUUACUUUUUCCACCA